UCCACCACGGGCUUGGCUGCUCCUUCCUCCGCCUGCUCCCGUCUCUGCGCCUCACAGGCUAUUCCUGGAAAGAUAAAUGCUCACACGUGCACCUCCUUCUUCUAGAAGGAGGGAGGAUGUGGGAGAGCGGAACUGAGGGAACGACAACAAAAAAAGGCGUAGGAGGCUGAGACAAGAGAUUGAGACAAGACGAGGAAACUGAGUCAUGAGGAGUUUAAGAAGCUUUCCCAGGACCACCCAGAAGAGAACAAUUUCUGCGAUUGUUUUUCCUACCUUCACAAAGGGAAGAUGAGGGAAUCCAAGAAAGUGCUUGUUCUGUUUGAAAAUAACGCCAGAGACAUCAACAUCUGAAAUAACCCCUUUUCCUGAUUUCUUGGGGAUCCAAACAGAUAUGGGAAGUCAUGGCUCUGGAAGUUCCACACAGCUAUCCUCCUGGUGGGAGAGAGGGUGGCUUCCAAGCAAGGGCCCUCGCCCUGGCCCCGUUCUCUGCAGCUCAGCACCGGAGCCUCCGCAUCACCUGUGCUGCUCACUAGAAAGUGGACCUGACAGCUUUGGCAGGUACAGCCGUGGGCUACAAAACCCUUCAGGCUGAGGUUGCAAAUCAGGGCUCCCAGCUCCAGAGGUUAUUGCUCACUCCCUCCUCGGCGGUGGUGACUCACACAAUCUGUGUCUCUGUUUCCAGCACACACCACAGAAAACGUCUCGCCCUUUUCCACCUUGAGUUGGCCAUCAGUAUGAAGAGCAGACAGCUCUUUCUAAUGUGUGCUCCACAUAACACAAGUUCCAUCGGAUAUUAAUUAAAGCAGCUUUCCAUGGUCAAAUAAGGCAGGUCCGGGUUCCAACUUCUCAGAGUUCUUGACAUGUAAAGAUACUUCCUCCAUCUCCAAGAAGGAUGACAUUUUAAAAAUUGCUUUGAUUACAGAAGAUUUUUCCUCCUGGACCAAAAUUAGAGUACUAAGUGCUCCAUGCAACAGGCUUGGGGACGUGCUGCUCAAUGCUAUUAUAGGCUUGCAUUAACAUGCUGCUUAUUUACUUAGGAGGUAUGAGAAUAAGCUGUCUCACAGCUAUGCAGAUAACUGAAAAUUAACUCUGUCUUGAAUACCAUAUGGGCAUCAGUGUUUCUGGAACAUAUUACAUACUGUGAUAGGAUAACAUUUUAAGAUAGAUAUUCACCAUGUUUUUUGCUUCUUGCUGUUCUCUUUUUUUACUUUCCUUGUUUCAGGCAGGGUCAGCCCUCUUUGGGUCAUGGUCUCAGAGGAGGAAUAUGACAGGAUGGAAGGCAGAAGUCAUCUGUACAUCUCUCUGGCUUUUGAGCUCCAAAGGCCCAGACUUUAAAACAACUCGGAGGAUUUGUAGGGUGGGGUAAAAGAAAGAGGAUUCUGGAUAUAGAAACAUGAAAGGAGAAGGGUAACCCUUCAGAUGAAAAACAAGUGCACCCCUGGGCAGGGACAGAGGAGGGGAGAAUAGCAGGAAAGAGGAGGGAGAGAAGAGAAGGGAUGGAGGGAGAGGAGAAGGGCAGAGGGCAAGAGACAAACAGACAUCAUGAAGCUGGAAAGGAAACAGACACUGCGUGGUGCUUCCAGACAGCAGGGACCAAGCAUGACCAUGCAGAAAGAUCUCUCCCCUCCAGGACUGGGUCAGAAGCAGCAGUGAGCCCAGGCUGGGGAUGGGGAGCUGGCCAGCCACAGAGAGCUCACUAACAACCUGAGCGUGCAGGUGCUCAGGGACCCAGUGACCAGCUUGCCACUCAGCCCAGUGUUUUGAUAUUGUUGACAUCUCUUUGGACCCUGGGCAGAGCCUCAGGGUGGGUGGAGGGGUGCUGUGAGAACUUGAGAUUUCAAUCCCUAAUCAACGCAAUGGGAUGGGGGUUCCAGCAGAAACGAUUGGGAACUAAAGAAUGUCCAAUUUCCUGCAAAUCUUGCUUUUGUGAAGCAUCAUGCAGUCUUUUCUCUGGUUGGAGCUGGCUCAUAGUCAGGCCAUGAGGGUGGGUUCAGGAGGGAGCACCUUUGCCCCUAGGCCAAAGCUACAGGCUCCAGUAAUUCUUCAGUUUUUAUGUGUUUUUUUUUUUUUAUGUAGUUUUUCUGUUAUCAGCCCAACUUUCACUUAUUGAUAUUUAGCAUAGGUAUACGUAGCUCCCCUGCUUGCCCUUUCCUCUCCCUGUAAUGUGCUUUGGCCAGGAAACCAGGUGAGGAAGCUUCUUAGAAUUAUGCAUAAAGAGAGGAAAUCAGUUCUAAGAGCUGGCUCGUUUUCCUCAUCUACAAAAUGAGGGGGCUGUAAUAGAUCAUCGCUGAAGUCCAGUCCAGCUCUAACAUUUUAUGAUUCCUCUGAAUAAAGUA